rnacentral:rRNA from 1 species
GACGAACGCUGGCGGCGUGCUUAACACAUGCAAGUCGAACGGAAAGGCCCUGCUCUUGUGGGGUGCUCGAGUGGCGAACGGGUGAGUAACACGUGAGUAACCUGCCCUUGACUUUGUGAUAACUUUAGGAAACUGGGGCUAAUAUCGGAUAGGAGCUCCUGCUGCAUGGGGUGGGUUGGAAAGUUUCGGCGGUUGGGGAUGGACUCGCGGCUUAUCAGCUUGUUGGUGGGGUAGUGGCUGACCAAGGCUUUGACGGGUAGCCGGCCUGGGAGGGUAACCGGCGACAAUGGGACUGAGGUACGGCGCAGACGCCUACGGGGGGCAGCAGUGGAGAGUAUUGCACAGUGGGCGGAAGCCUGAUGCAGCAACGCCGCGUGCGGGAUGACGGCCUUCGGGUUGUGAACAGCUUUCGCCUGUGACGAAGCGUGAGUGACGGUAAUGGGUAAGGAAGCACCGGCUAACUACGUG